rnacentral:rRNA from 1 species
CCUACGGGGGACAGCAGUGGGGAAUAUUGCACAAUGGGGGAAACCCUGAUGCAGCGAUGCCGCGUGGGCGAUGAAGCACUCCGGUAUGUAAAGCUCUGUCAGCAGGGAAGAAAAUGACGGUACCUGACUAAGAAGCCCCGGCUAACUACGUGCCAGCAGCCGCGGUAAUACGUAGGGGGCAAGCGUUAUCCGGAUUUACUGGGUGUAAAGGGAGCGCAGGCGGUGGGGCAAGCCAGAUGUGAAAGCCCGGGGCUCAACCCUGGGACUGCAUUUGAAACUGCCAUACUGGAGUGUCGGAGAGGCAAGCGGAAUUCCUAGUGUAGCGGUGAAAUGCGUAGAUAUUAGGAGGAACACCAGUGGCGAAGGCGGCUUGCUGGACGGUAACUGACGCUGAGGCUCGAAAGCGUGGGGAGCAAACAGGAUUAGAUACCCUGGUAGUC